rnacentral:rRNA from 1 species
AUUGAACGCUGGCGGCAGGCUUAACACAUGCAAGUCGAGCGGGGUGAUGGUGCUUGCACUAUCACUUAGCGGCGGACGGGUGAGUAAUGCUUAGGAAUCUGCCUAUUAGUGGGGGACAACAUCUCGAAAGGGAUGCUAAUACCGCAUACGUCCUACGGGAGAAAGCAGGGGAUCACUUGUGACCUUGCGCUAAUAGAUGAGCCUAAGUCGGAUUAGCUAGUUGGUGGGGUAAAGGCCUACCAAGGCGACGAUCUGUAGCGGGUCUGAGAGGAGGAUCGGCCACACUGGGACUGGGACACGGCCCAGACUCCUACGGGAGGUAGCAGUGGGGAAUAUUGGACAAUGGGGGGAACCCUGAUCCAGCCAUGCCGCGUGUGUGAAGAAGGCCUUAUGGUUGUAAAGCACUUUAAGCGAGGAGGAGGCUCUUUUGGUUAAUACCCAAGAUGAGUGGACGUUACUCGCAGAAUAAGCACCGGCUAACACUGUGCCAGCCGCCGCAGUAA